rnacentral:lncRNA from 1 species
UGUAAUUUUGGGGUGGUUUUUAAUAAUAUUUAUCUUCAUGUCACAUAAUUGAAUAAAAUAAAAUAUUUAGAGAAAAUAUGAAAUUAUAAUAUCUUAAGUACAGGGGAUUUGGGGUAUUUGGUACUGCCCCAACCAAAAUUCAGCUGGUCUUUGAGGCUCAUCCUUAUCCCUGUUUUCUGUCUCAGCUGGGGAAGAUCAGGCACCUGGGAACAUUCCAGUUAUUCCCAGUUUUCCCUGGGAAAGAACUGAAGUGUGAACAGAAAAUACUGGGCAGCCAAGGUUGUUUUCUUCCUUACAAGGACCUGAUUUAGCCCUUGAUGGCACCUUAAAUUUAAGUCAUUAAAUUCCCUUUCCCUGUCCUUAUGUUGCUGCAAAAUCCUAAAUUCCAUGGGAGGAGUUCACUUCUGGGAUUGGAUGGAAUUUGAACACCAAGAAUUUAACUUUUUAACCCGAAAUCCCUUAAAAUCUUGAACUUAGUGAUUAGUUGGUGAGGGAGAAACUUGUACAGACACCACUGGUCUUAAAGAAAAAUAAUGAGAAUGGUGGAAUUUAACUGCAAAUCUUCAAUAUUUCAGCAGCUCAGCUUCAGCAGCACCUUUGUUGAAGUCACAGAUUGAUUCCUGGGAAACUUUUAUUUCCAAUGUAAAGAAACAGCUGGAAAAAGUAGAGGCUGAGUAUGAGAAGAAAAUUGAGCUGGUGAAAAGUGGUGCCCAGAUUUCCCUCACUAAGGUGGAAAUGAUGGAUAUUCCCUCUCCUCCCAGUGUCCUGACAAUCCCAGCCAGACCUUUGGUCAGUGAUCCAGCCAUUGUCACCUAUUCCUUGGCAUCUGCACAUCCCAGUUCCCUUCCUGCAUUUUCCAGUCCUGAAGGUCAAGGUCCAACACAACCAUCCCUUCAAACCCAGGCUGGAGCUAAGGCAGCACAUGCCACUGCUGAGGCUGCUUCUGCAAGUGGUGGAGCCGUGAAAACACAUCCCCAACCUCCAGAGGGAUCAUAUUCCAAUAAACUCCCAUCACCUCACCCAUCAGGGAUUUCUGGAAGUGCCACUCAGCCAACCCAGAACCACCAGGAUGCCUCAGCUCUGCAACCAAGGCCUCCUGCACUUCCAAACAACAAAAAGCUUCCAAAAGCACUGGAAAAUAUUAUUGCACAGCUCCAGAGUAUAUUCCCAAACUACAGCAGGUACUGGUUGGAAUGA